UACAGAGGAGCCAAGCGUUGUCCGGAUUGACUGGGCGAAAAGCGCACGCAGGCGGAUGCGCGCGUGGGGUGUGAAAUCUGGCCGCUUAACGGCCAGGCGCCAUCCCAUACGGCGCGUCUGGAGUGAUGCAGAGGUCGGUGGAAUUGCCGGUGUAGUGGUGAAAUGCGUAGAGAUCGGCAGGAACACCCAGGGGGAAACCAGCCGACUGGGCAUCUACUGACGCUGAGGUGCGAGAGCGUGGGGAGCGAACCGG
rnacentral:rRNA from 1 species